CAGCCGCCGCGGUAAUACGUAGGUGGCAAGCGUUGUCCGGAAUUAUUGGGCGUAAAGGGCUCGCAGGCGGUUUCUUAAGUCUGAUGUGAAAGCCCCCGGCUCAACCGGGGAGGGUCAUUGGAAACUGGGAAACUCGAGUGCAGAAGAGGAGAGUGGAAUUCCACGUGUAGCGGUGAAAUGCGUAGAGAUGUGGAGGAACACCAGUGGCGAAGGCGACUCUCUGGUCUGUAACUGACGCUGAGGAGCGAAAGCGUGGGGAGCGAACAGGAUUAGAUACCCCCGUAGUCCCUGUCUCUUAUAC
rnacentral:rRNA from 1 species